AUUGAACGCUGGCGGCAGGCUUAACACAUGCAAGUCGAGCGGAGAUGAGGUGCUUGCACCUUAUCUUAGCGGCGGACGGGUGAGUAAUGCUUAGGAAUCUGCCUAUUAGUGGGGGACAACAUUCCGAAAGGAAUGCUAAUACCGCAUACGUCCUACGGGAGAAAGCAGGGGAUCUUCGGACCUUGCGCUAAUAGAUGAGCCUAAGUCGGAUUAGCUAGUUGGUGGGGUAAAGGCCUACCAAGGCGACGAUCUGUAGCGGGUCUGAGAGGAUGAUCCGCCACACUGGGACUGAGACACGGCCCAGACUCCUACGGGAGGCAGCAGUGGGGAAUAUUGGACAAUGGGGGAAACCCUGAUCCAGCCAUGCCGCGUGUGUGAAGAAGGCCUUAUGGUUGUAAAGCACUUUAAGCGAGGAGGAGGCUACUGAGACUAAUACUCUUGGAUGGUGGACGUUACUCGCAGAAUAAGCACCGGCUAACUCUGUGCCAGCAGCAGCCGCAG
rnacentral:rRNA from 1 species